GCAAGUCGAGGGGUAACAGGGAGAGCUUGCUUUCCGCUGACGACCGGCGCACGGGUGCGUAACGCGUAUGCAACCUACCUUAUACCGGGGAAUAGCCCGAAGAAAUUCGGAUUAAUGCCCCAUAGUAUUGUUUUUUCGCAUGUUAAGACAAUUAAAGAUUACGGUAUAAGAUGGGCAUGCGUCCCAUUAGCUAGAUGGUAAGGUAACGGCUCACCAAGACGAUGAUGCUUAGGGGGUCUGAGAGGAUAGUC
rnacentral:rRNA from 1 species